rnacentral:sRNA from 1 species
CAGGUCAUGUAUCAAAGCAUUGGGAAGGUGAUUGGCUAACGCAGGCUUGACUCCAUAUAGCAGCUUGAAUCUAGCCUGGCUUUUCCUACACUCAACUCCAUUAUAUUUUAAUCACAAUUUUCUUCCUGCCAGCCUCACCUAUAAACCUCAGUUUAUGCCCUAACCCAAGCUGGCAUGAUUUGUUUUCUUAUAAUUCUGAUGUCUCUACACUCAUUUUAAUUUCUGCUCACCCCCUAUUGCUUUUAGAAGCUUUGCUCACUCCUGGGCCUCAGUUUCCAUCCAUCCACUUCUGGUCCCAUUCCAUGCCACACCCGUGAUCCAUUUCUGGUUUUCCUCACUAUUUCAGCGUCUAGUCUGGAAUACCGACCCACGAUCCCUGCCAGAUUUUCCAGCCUACCCACCGAUGCCUUCUCUUGGCAUCCUGCGAGACUUUCCACUAAAGCUAGCCCAGGGUUUCCUCACCUGCCCCCUGCCUGAUGCGGCUGGAGUCUGGAGGUGUCUCAGGCGCUGGAGACCCCGGGGUCGGGGGUUCCGGGAACAUGGCGUCGGGUUCCUGCGGUGCUUCCUGCAGAGGGCUUGAACCGGAAGUGGGCGCAAGCAGGCGUGGGAACCAGCAGACCACUGUUGCCCUGAGCUACCGCCAGGCUCCAAGCAGGGUGAUAGCAGUGCUGGUUGCUGAGCAACGAGCCUGUUGCCAAGACAACGGGAAGGACUGACGCACGGAAACGAAGUCCGGGCGGUGCCGGUGCAUGGGACCCAGGUCCCGGAUCCCGCGGCCGAGUGAGGGCGGCCUGUGAUCUGUGUAUCCAUUGCGGCUCCUCCCUCCGCAUUGGACCCCUUGCACCACCACUCUUGCUGGUAAAGUGGGGAACCUGCCCUGGAACCUCUGCUGUGCCUUCA